rnacentral:rRNA from 6 species
UUUCCAGAGAUGGAUUGGUGCCUUCGGGAACUGUGAGACAGGUGCUGCAUGGCUGUCGUCAGCUCGUGUUGUGAAAUGUUGGGUUAAGUCCCGCAACGAGCGCAACCCUUAUCCUUUGUUGCCAGCGGUUAGGCCGGGAACUCAAAGGAGACUGCCAGUGAUAAACUGGAGGAAGGUGGGGAUGACGUCAAGUCAUCAUGGCCCUUACGACCAGGGCUACACACGUGCUACAAUGGCGCAUACAAAGAGAAGCGACCUCGCGAGAGCAAGCGGACCUCAUAAAGUGCGUCGUAGUCCGGAUUGGAGUCUGCAACUCGACUCCAUGAAGUCGGAAUCGCUAGUAAUCGUGGAUCAGAAUGCCACGGUGAAUACGUUCCCGGGCCUUGUACACACCGCCCGUCACACCAUGGGAGUGGGUUGCAAAAGAAGUAGGUAGCUUAACCUUCGGGAGGGCGCUUACCACUUUGUGAUUCAUGACUGGGGUGAAGUCGUAACAAGGUAACCGUAGGGGAACCUGCGGUUGGA